AACGAACGCUGGCGGCAGGCUUAACACAUGCAAGUCGAACGAGAUCUUCGGAUCUAGUGGCAGACGGGUGAGGAACACGUGGGAACAUCCCUUUCAGUUCGGAAUAACGUUGGGAAACUAACGCUAAUACCGGAUACGUCCUUCGGGAGAAAGAUUUAUCGCUGAAAGAUUGGCCCGCGUGUGAUUAGCUAGUUGGUGAGGUAAUGGCUAACCAAGGCUACGAUCAGUAGCGGAUCUGAGAGGAUGAUCAGCCGCAUUGGGACUGAGACACGGCCCAAACUCCUACGGGAGGCAGCAGUGGGGAAUAUUGGACAAUGGGCGCAAGCCUGAUCCAGCCAUGCCGCGUGAGUGAUGAAGGCUUUCGGGUCGUAAAGCUCUUUUAUCCGGGAAGAUACUGACUGUACCGGAAGAAUAAGCCCCGGCAAACUUCGUGCCAGCCGCCGCAGUAA
rnacentral:rRNA from 1 species